rnacentral:misc_RNA from 1 species
AAGUCGUAACAAGGUUUCCGUAGGUGAACCUGCGGAAGGAUCAUUAUCGAGAUGGAGGGGUUACUCCCCGACACCUCCCACCCAUGUCUCCCGUACCUCUUGCUUGGGGGGUCCUGCAGCCUCGUCUGCCAGCAGAGAUCUCUCUCCGCUGUGAGCCCCCCCAAACCUCCAAAACCUCAUCAUACCUGUCAUCUCAGUGCAAAGCAAAAUGGCAAAAAACUUUCAACAACGGAUCUCUUGGUUCCG